rnacentral:piRNA from 1 species
GAAAAUAAAUACAUUCUGAGCCGC